rnacentral:lncRNA from 1 species
UGCAAUAGCUGUUAAUUUGAAGAACUCCGUGCAGGCAGUUUAUCAUCGUUCAUGCUACAAAACUUACACAAGUAAACAUAUUUCUUCCCUCCUUUUAGAGCGAGGAAGCUUCUAGUCUAAUAUUUAAUGACGACAUACAAUUACCUGACUGUUGUCCCUCAGUUUCGGGUAUUUGUAAACGUUCUAGAAUGCAGUCGUUAAACUGGAGCGCUUGUAUAUUUUGUUGCAACAAAACAUUUUAGAAAGAUAAAAAAUUACUCAAGUUUGAAUCAGAUGAGCGUAUUAAAAAUGUUUUAUCCGUGUCAGAUAAAGUUAAAGUUGAAAUAGUUUCCCGUCCAUCUUUUAAACUUCAAUCACUCUGUCAUUUUGGUUGCAUUACAAAUUAUUUGCUAAAAACGUAAAAAAAAAUUCAAACCCGUGGAAGCAGAUAUCUCAAAACACGAUACUGCUUUUAGUAAUUUUAUUUUGGCUAUUGACAAUGAUUUAAUGGUCAUUCCUCAUGACACCGUUACUCGAUAAAUAUAGAUCAUUUCUUCCGGCUGAUUCUAAUUUAAAAUAUUCUACAUGUAAAAUGCAGUCUAAACUAAUUUAUUUCUAUAGAAAUUCAGUUGUCAAACAACUUCAACAAGUUCAAGGCAAAUAUAACAUAAUAUUUAGUAGCAAAAUAACUAUUUAAGAUGCCAUAAAAGCUUCUAGUCAAUUGAAAACUGACCUCAAAAUCUCAAUGUCAACUGUAAUAGACACAAAUAACGGACAGAUAUUUCAUUCCGCUGC